GGUGAGAUGGCCGAGUUGGUUAUGGCGCCAGGUUAAGGUAAACCUUAACACCAAUUUCCUGGUGGAGCAAUCCUCCUGGGUUCGAGUCCCAGUCUCAUCA
rnacentral:tRNA from 2 species